rnacentral:misc_RNA from 1 species
AACGCACAUUGCGCCUUCCAGUAUUCUGGGAGGCAUGCCUGUCCGAGCGUCGUUUCAACCCUCAAGCCCUCGUGGUUUGGCGUUGGAGGUCUACGGUUAAACGUAGUCUCCCAAAACCAGUGGCGGACCCGUCGCGGCCCUUCCUUUGCGUAGUAGCAUUCGCCUCGCAUCGGGAGCCCACGGGACUUUCUGGCCUCUAAACCCCCAACAAGCCCGCUCCGGCGGCACAAGGUUGACCUCGGAUCAGGUAGGAAUACCCGCUGAACUUAA